GACGAACGCUGGCGGCGUGCUUAACACAUGCGAGUCGAACGGAAAGGCCCUGCUUUUGUGGGGUGCUCGAGUGGCGAACGGGUGAGUAACACGUGAGUAACCUGCCCUUGACUUUGGGAUAACUUCAGGAAACUGGUGCUAAUACCGGAUAGGAGCUUCUGCUGCAUGGUGGGGGUUGGAAAGUUUCGGCGGCUGGGGAUGGACUCGCGGCUUACCAGCUUGUUGGUGGGGUAGUGGCUUACCAAGGCUUUGACGGGUAGCCGGCCUGAGAGGGUGACCGGCCACAUUGGGACUGAGAUACGGACCAGACUCCUACGGGAGGCAGCAGUGGGGAAUAUUGCACAAUGGGCGGAAGACUGAUGCAGCAACGCCGCGUGCGGGAUGACGGCCUUCGGGUUGUAACCCGCUUUCGCCUGUGACGAAGCGUGAGUGACGGUAAUGGGUAAAGAAGCACCGGCUAACUACGUG
rnacentral:rRNA from 1 species